CCUACGGGAGGCUGCAGUAGGGAAUAUUGCUCAAUGGGGGAAACCCUGAAGCAGCAACGCCGCGUGGAGGAUGAAGGUUUUCGGAUUGUAAACUCCUUUUGUUAGAGAAGAUAAUGACGGUAUCUAACGAAUAAGCACCGGCUAACUCCGUGCCAGCAGCCGCGGUAAUACGGAGGGUGCCAGCGUUACUCGGAAUCACUGGGCGUAAAGGGCGCGUAGGCGGGAUAGCAAGUCAGAUGUGAAAUCCUAUGGCUUAACCAUAGAACUGCAUUUGAAACUGUUAUGCUAGAGUAUGGGAGAGGUAGGUGGAAUUCUUGGUGUAGGGGUAAAAUCCGUAGAGAUCAAGAGGAAUACUCAUUGCGAAGGCGACCUGCUAGAACAUAACUGACGCUGAUGCGCGAAAGCGUGGGGAGCAAACAGGAUUAGAUACCCGAGUAGUC
rnacentral:rRNA from 1 species